GAAGGACAUGAAGUCAGUGUGUUUUUUGGCCCAAAUAAAACAGAACUAGAUGCGUAUAAUGCUCUUUUAGGGUGAGUACCUGGGGUGGAUCUUUAAGUCUGUCUUCUGAGGCUGGACAUUAUGUUUUAUGUGUUAUUUUGUUUCUAGCACCCUGUUUGUGCAUCAUGAUCAGGGUGCAGCACAGAGGAGAUUCAUCUGCUCUUCCUACUCCUCUGUUCCCCAGCUCUCAGACUUCCUCCUCUCCUCAGCCAUCACGCAAUGAAAAUGCUCUGGCUGGGUACUUUAAAUAUAUUAUUGCUUCUGGGCUCUCUGCUGAUUGGAAGGAGUUGUACAGUAAAAAGGUGCAGAGAUGUUUGUGUGAUAAAUGGGAAUAUAUAGACUAGGAUGCUUGGCAGGGCUGAAAAAACACUGUCAUGUGCAUUCAAAAUGGAAGGGAAGGCAGGGGAGGGAGACACGAGCUGUUAAAGUGAGUGGCAGCCACCUACAAACCUAAUCCAAAUAAAAUCCCUCAGAGCAGGGGGACGUACCCCUCCAUUUUGCACCCCCACGGAAGGAUCAAAGCGAAUAGCAGCGCUCGCUCCCGCUGCCUGAGCCUCUGCCUCAGAGCCCCUCCUCAGGGCCAGCAGGCCCGGGAGGCGCCCGGGUCACCUCGGCGUCCCCUCGGCCCAGCGCCGGGGGUGGGCAGGAGCAGCACGCCGCAGCCUCAAAGGCUGGAGCAGCCAAUGCAGUGCUGCGAGGCCGGCACAGAGCUCCAGGAGCCGCCGAGGCUGCCCGAGGCACCGAGCCUCCCGGAGCUCUGCCGAGCGGCGCGGCUCUGCAUCCCAAUGCUCGCCCGGCGCUGUCGUGCGGCCCGGCCCGAGCGGGGGAAGGAGCCUGCCCGCCACGCUGCCGUGCGUCCUCUCUGGGGCUCCAGGGGAGGCACGGCCUUCAGCUGUACUUCUGCCGGAUGAAAACUGAAAAUAUCUGUAAAUGGUUAAAAUGCAAUGAGUGUCAUCACUCUAAGACUCAGAAGAUAAAAAUUAAACCACUAAAUGUUACAGGUAUGUUUGUGUUCUGUCACCUAAAAUGCACCUAUGUCCCUUUUGCUAUUUAG
ensembl:lncRNA